AUUGAACGCUGGCGGCAGGCCUAACACAUGCAAGUCGAACGAGUGGCGGACGGGUGCGUAAUGUCUGGGAAACUGCCCGAUGGAGGGGGAUAACUACUGGAAACGGUAGCUAAUACCGCAUACCAUCGGAUGUGCCCAGAUGGGAUUAGCUAGUAGGUGGGGUAACGGCUCACCUAGGCGACGAUCCCUAGCUGGUCUGAGAGGAUGACCGGCAACACUGGAACUGGAACACGGACCAGACGCCUGCGGUAGGCAGCAGUGGGGAAUAUGGCGCAAUUGGCGGAAGCCGGAAGCAGGCACGCCGCGUGUAUGUAGAAGGCCUUGGGGUUGUAAAGUACUUUCUGGGAGGGGGCGUUACUGGCAGAAGAAGCGCCGGCUAACUCCGUGCCAGCAGCCGCGGUAAUUC
rnacentral:rRNA from 1 species